AGUGAAGUUUGACUUAAAAAUUUAUGGCUUUAAAUAAGGAAAAAAAAAUACUCUGGCAUAGUUACAUACCAGCUCUCAUUAGCAUUGUGUAUAGCAGAAAUUUAUUGUAAGAUUUUUACUUCUUCUGGCAUAAAUUAAAAAGGAAUUAAAUAGGAAGUUAAAUAAAAGUGAGUCAAGAGAUUUCCUGAGUCACCAGUGACCCACUCUGUCUCCUGCCCUGGGUAUCUGAUGAGGUAGGGUACCCUGGUGGCUAAGGUUCCUAUUACAUGGAUAUUCAACCAGCCCCAUUUCCAGCCUAGGGUCACUUCCCACUUCCUGUGGUAUCUGCUCCUUCUCUUCCCGAGGUGGUCCAGGGCUGCCAGCCAUGACUUAGCUUGCCUCUCAUUGGCUGCUGCCUCCACCAUGCUUGGCCUUCAUAAUUCACGCUGGGCAGGUAGAGAAUCAGCGGAGCGGGUGAUGCAUCAUCACUUAGCUGCUCUCUCUCUCUCAUGUGGGCCACUGCUGGGCUUCAGCUCUCUCCUAGAGCUCUUCCUGUUGCCUCUUUUCUCAGAAUUUGCCCUUUCCUGGCCUUCUAGGUUCAUGCCAGCCCCCCUCUCCCUCCUCCAUUCCAGCCACUGCCCUGUCAUUUAUUUCUGCAGUGGCUUAUCUUAUUUGAGAAUGAUCCAGGUCCCUACCACCUCUAAGUCUUAUUUGCCACUUGUCCUGUUACCAGCCCUGGGUGAGUUAUAUUAAUAGACUCACAACACAACAUGGUACACAACCACCAGAGCCACUUCAGAGGGAAGAGAGGAGUGCACGGAUUCCAGGUGGGCUGGCUCAUCUAAUCAGGGUGGCUAAUUUAGGUCGUGGUGGUCAGGGCAGCAGAUCAACCACUUGCCAGUCCUUUGCAUAGAUUAUUAACGGAAGCUUUCCCAUACCUCUGCAAAGUAGGUAUUCUCCAUUUUGCAGAAGAGGAAAUAGUUGCUCAGAGGUGCUAGUUGACUUGCCUCAGGUCCCAGCUGGCAGAGCCAAGACUAGAGGGGAAGCCUGUGUGAUGCACAUUGCCUGCUGCCUUUUGAUUUUAUGAUUUUAGUUAUUAGAUUUUCUGAAUUGUUUCAAGUGUGAAGAGACUUUUUUGCCCACCUGUCUAUUAUGCUUUUAUUUCAUUUCUGAACAACUAUUUCUACUUAGAGUUUCUGAACACCGUCAGCAACUUCUAUUUCCAAAUGCAGUCAAUUCAAUCAUCCCUUUAUGGAUGCAGCACCUUGGCUCACGGGUGGAUUGGCUGUAGUUUCACUCAUCUCUGCCAAACUCUUCCCUGGUACCCAAUCAGCAAGAGCUGCCGGUGCUUGUACCGUGCAUGGACCCAGUUAGUAGCUUUAAUCAAUCAGGACGUCAAGUGCCUUCCCUUUUCUGCUCUUGAGCCUUCCAAACGUGCCCAGUGUGGUUCACCCAUGAUGUGCGGUAGUGCUGCCUAUCAAGGUGGAGCCCAGCUGGUGUUCCUCUUCCGAGCACCUGCCCAGGUCACGUGGUAUGUGGAUUACGUCUGGGAUGUUGGUGUUGGUCAAAACAGCCCAGGCCUUCUGUUUGUUACUCUCUGGAUCAUGUGAUUCUGGGUGUUUAUCUCAGAUAGUUAUGUCUGGUUGCAAAGGGGGAAGGUCUAACGCUAAUUGGGUGGAAUUCUCAAGCCAAACCUUGUACUAGCUCUUUGUACAUCCAUUAUCUCAUUUAAUUCUUACAGCAAUCCAAGACAGAGGCGGCACGCAGUCGUCAAUUCAUUCAUCGGUGGAUAUCACGGAAAGGCACAGCACGUUCUGGGGCUGUGUGAGUUGCCAAAUGCUGUGGCUCCUGGGGCAAAUAAGGAAGAGGCAGAUUCUGUCCUUGAACAUGUAGUUCAAAGAAAUCAGAAACACUGAGACAAAUAAUUACAAGUAUAGUGCGUGUUGUGAUGGUAACAACCUGAUUAGUGUUGGCGCUGAAGUGACUACAGCCUCUCUUGCUGUGCUCACAACAGUGCAGGCACUCUGCGAACCCUGUUACCUGAAUGCCUGUUACUGCCCUAGCAUUCUAUGACGUCUGUGAUGAGAAAACCCUACUUUCUCUUGAGGCAAAGAGACUGAGGGGGCUUAAGUAACUUGUUCCAGUUCCCAUGAGCAGAGCUGUUUUAAAGUUAAAAGAAGAAAUUUGAAGUGUGGCAGGCAAGGCAGGAAGGGGCCAGACUGCCUGGGUUCACUUUCCGACUAUGCUUUUCAUGCGUUGCUUCGUUUGGGAACAAUCAGGUCUUCUCUUUGUGUCUCAGUUUUCCCCAUCUGUAAAAUAGGGCUCAUAGAGCCGACUCAUGGUUAUUAUUCCCAGAUUACAGAUGAGGAAACUGAAGCAGAGACAUUAAGGCAGAGGCUCAAGGUCAGUGGAAAAGCCAGGACUCAGCCCACGUCAGUCUCAUUGCAAAUUCACACGUUUAUGGUACCUGCUACCAAGACUUCCAGAGGUCAGAUAGUUUCUGGGCGAUCAGGAACAUCAAGUUGAUUCCUGGACCCCCUUCUGAUGGCAUCAAACAGGGCAAAAUGCCAAAGUACUUGAGAGAUGCUGUUGGGUGUCCACUCUGGACGCAUGUACAGAGCAUGUCCCAGGAUCUGCUCUUCCGACAAGAGCUCAUUUAAGAGGAAUGUGCUUAAAUACAAGCCCUGGUUUGGAAAUGUGAAUUGACAAGGACAAGAAAACUGACCCGCCUUUAAUGCUGAGAAGGCUUCUGGGACUCUGCGUGAUGGUGUAUUUGAUUGGGGUGCAGGGAUUUCCUUGGUGGGGGGGACCUUCUCUUUGGGAUAAAAGUGAUCCACUUUCUGCCGGAGGCAAAAGGAGUAGGAGGGGCUGUCUGCAGGUGGGCCCCUGCUGAGACGUGCCAAGGGCCGGGGAAAGGUGUCCGUCUUGAGUAGCUGGUGCUCAAAGGGGGCCAUGCCCAGAGUCUUUGUUCUCACAGGACGUCUGUCUGCAGCAAGCCCCGUGUUUCUUCUGGGACGUGCACACGCGGGCGGGCGUGCGCACAGGCCUUGGCUGGCUGGGGCUCCGGGGCUGCCAGCACCCUCCCUGCCUUUGUUUCGGGGACAGCUGAUAACCCCCAUUAACAUCUCGCUGCAGAUACUGGCAGCCUCACAAACCAGUCCUCACCUCCUCCGGGGCAGAUGGCUCCAGAACAUUCCUUCUCCCCUCUUCCUCCCCCCACCCCAACCCUGUGAGGGCCAAACAUGUUUUGCCUUUUACCGCAGACAUGCAUCUUCUUGUCUGGCCUCUUGUUUUUCUCCGGUGCAGAUUUAUGAAGAGGAGUCAAGGAAAACCCCAUCCUCAGCCAGUCCGAGGAAGAGGAUCUGCUUCUCAGAGGCACCUCCUAGUUUGCAUUCCGGUCCCCGCCCUCCAACCCUGUACAUCUCGUAUUACAAAUGCAACAAACUCAUUGUACAUGUGUCUUUUAUCCAGUCACGAAGCUUGGGUUUCCUUUCUUCCUGCAUCUCCCUCAGAACCACCCAGGUCCAGUCUCUUCCGCCCAGGCUGACACAGACCGCCGUCGCAUUUUCCCUGGACUUUUUCAAGAACCUCUCAACCUUCCCCAUGGUCUUGCCGCCUUUCCACUUUCUCCACUCCCUGCGGUGAUCUCUCUCAAAUGCAAACUUGAUCUCGUAAUUCCUGUGAUUUACGCUUUCAAACACUCCUUGUUACUCCUGGACUGAAGACAGGUGUCUGGGUCAUGGUGGGUGCUCAGUAGAAUAUUCUGGAAUUAAAUCGAGUUGGAUCUUCAUAUGAAGCCAAAUGAAAUAUCCAUUUGGAGGACUCAAAAAUGGCCUUGCCUUGUGAAUUUUUUCUUGUUCUCACCUUUGUACCCACCUGAAGUCCUUUCAUUUCAGCAGACACUUUCCCCCCAUAAUUUUGUGUGCAGUGACUGGAUGGGGGAGGUCUUAUGGAAAAAAGUCAUCUCAUAGUCCAAUAAGAAAUGGGAUAUUAGAACUGGUAGGGACCUUCGAAACCAUGCUUUUAGUUUCAACUGGUUCUAAAACAUAUCUGAGUCCCUGAUAAUUUUACUAAUGGGCACAUAUUUAAAAGUUCCUAGAAGCUACAUCAGCUUCCACCAAUAGGGAACCACAUCUCAGCAAAGGGCACAGAGGCCCACCUAGGGUGAGGGCAAUGUUUAUGGAAACAAAGAACAAUUUUGAUUUUCCUUUCUUGAGAGGGCUUCCUCAUGAGGCUUCUGGGAGGUCAACUAGUGACAUUUAAAAGUGAGAAAACUGAGUCCAGAGAAAAGGAGGUGAGUGUCCCUAGAUUACAAACUCAGUGGAUGACAGACAAAGGAUCAGUCCUUUCACCUCCUGAUUCACAAGGCAUGGGCACACAGCCCCCUGAAUUACCCUCACUGGAAGAUAACCUUUACCUAAGAACCAAAUACCAGAGAGCACAUCCAUGAAACUAGCUAAGCAGGUAGAUAUUUCGGUCUGCAAUUUUCCCAUUUUCCUCUAAGAUAGCAUCAUUUAUCUCAGUAUCUAAAGGUAACAGUGGGAAAGUCAAGGAAAAUUGAGCACCGCUGUAGAUAAAGCCCAGUUCUAGGUAUACACACACUUUACCUCCAGUAUGACAGUUUUUCCAGAUAAGAGAACUGAAAUACCGAAAGAAUUAAGUCAUUUGCUUAAGCCUAACUUCUACCCUAGAUCUGAACCCAGAUCUCUCCAACUCCCAAGUGCAAGUCCAUUUUCUCUUAUUAAUAUUUUCUCCAAAUAUCUCGCAGACCACUACGACUAUAAGGAAAUUAAAGGAAUUUAAGAGCCACAAAGAUAAUACUUACAUACCCGUGCAUAUACACCUAUUUUGCUCUAUCAAAGUCCCUCAUUAGAGAGGGUUCUUGACCUGCAAGGGUACAGAGAAGGUACCCAGUUUCCUACUUGAUAUGAGCAAUGCCCUUGGGCUUCAAUGUAGAAGGUGAGCAGGAGAAGCCAUUGCUCUGAAGGUGAUUCUUUCAAAAGAAUGAAGCACAGGUAAAUAUAAUACAAAUAUUGGUCCCGUGAUGCAGCAGAAGCAUUGAUAUCAUGGGACUGGAAUGGGGUAUAUUAUUAUUUUUUUCCCCUUUUAUAGAUCUCUGGUCAGAAGCUUAGAUUUAUCUCAAUUACUGGUUCACAGAAAAUCAUCCUCACUGGUUCCUGAAAGUCUUUUCCUCUCUCCCUCCUGGGCUCCUUCCCCGCCAUCCAUCUACAUCCUACACUUUCAUUCUCUUUCCUUAUAGACAACCAUUGGGUUUUGUAUGUAUCUCUUAUUUAUGUUAUUUCCUAAGGUAUUAUUUUCCUUAACUGAAUGCGUUUUACAUUUUGCUUUAAAAUUAAAAAAUUUUAGAAUAGUUCCGGAUUUACAGAAUGUUAGAAUAGCUUUAGAUCCACCAAAAAAUGGCCACGAUAGUACAGAGAGUUCCCACACCAAUCCCUGCUUCACUAUAAUUGUCUUAUAUUAUUGUGGUACAUUUGCCAUAGUUUGAGCCAAUACUGACUAUUAUUAACCAAAGCCCAUGCUUUAUUAAGGUUUCUUUGGUCUUUUUCUGAAUGUCCUUUUUCCAUCCUAGAAUCCCAUUGAGGAUGCCACAUUCAAUGCAGUUAGGUCCCCGCGGCUGCGACCAUUUCUCCAUCUCUGUGUUGAGGACCUUGACCUACCGGUCAGGUAUUUUGUAGGAUGUGUCUCACAGUUGUGAUUUGCCCGAUGUUUUUCUCAUGAGCAGAUGAAGGCGGUGUUUGGGGAAGGUAACAUGCCAUUCCCAUCACAUCACUGCUAAGGGUGGCUACUCCCGAGCCAGGCCUCCUCACUGAUACGGAUCUGGGUCACCUCGCUGCUCGUUUGUCAGGUUUCUCCACCUGCUUCCUCUCCCCCUUUCUACACUGUCCCCUCUUGGAAGGAAGGGACUAAGUAUGGCCUCCACUUAGGGAGCAGGGGCUUGUGCUCCCAGAGGGCAGAGUAUCUACACAACUUAUUUGGAAUUCUUCUACAUGGGAGAUUUAACUGUUCUCUACCAUUUAUUUAUUCAAUAGUUUAUUGACUCAGAUUUCCUUUAGAACCCUUUCCAGUUAAUCUCCCGUGUCCUCUUGACACACCCUCAUCAUCAUGAGUAUUGUUUCAGUCUUGAGCACUUCCUUACUUUCUGACACUAUAAGAUGCUCCAGUCCUAGAAUCAGCCAUUUCUCUAAGGAUCCUCUUCCUGGGGAAUAAGAUCAGAAUUCAAGGUCUAGGCAAUGUGUGCUCAUUGCUAUAUGGGUGCCAUUGCUUCUGUGUGCCCUCCUAGCUGACACAGUAAGGAAAAAAACCCUGAAUAGACAUAAAUAUUUCCAUAUGCAAAAACCUGUAUCUAUAUUAAACUAACCAUGAGUUCAUAAUUAUGUCUCUAGCCCCAAACCAUCACUACAUAGAUCAUUCAGGUUGCUC
rnacentral:lncRNA from 1 species